UUUUGUUCACCGUUAAUUUUCAACGACCGUGUACGAGGGGAUGUUUGAAACAAUUUGUCGUUUUUUUUUUCGCUCGUACGAUAGCCGCGGUUAAUCCCAACUAUGAAAACGAUAUUCGAGCUUUUGAUGGUUUAUGAUUUUUUCAUUUCUCGAUUCACGGUUUUUUUUUUUUUCUCGGUUUUCCGAAUACGUACCCCGGUGCGUAUGUAUUUACGCACACGGUUAACUACGACACGACGACUUUUGCUCGGCGUUUUCUAUCCACCGGGUGAUCGAUGUAGAGAAAAACAUGGCCGACAUCGGGGCAAAUUGGGAGGAGGAGGGUGAUUUGUCCGUUGAUUUUCCGCGGCCGGCUGGUUACCGCCAAAGUGUGGCGAAAUAUGUGCAUGUGGCGUGGUGUGGAAAGGAGAUAAAGUAAUUUUUCUUUUUCAUCAGCUUUCAACGAGACUUAUGUGAGAGGGAAAGAUAAUUUUUCUUGCUUUUUUUUCUAACGCAAUGCGUUGAACUUUCGUUUCUGUCUUUUUUUUUUUUUUUUCUUAGCGACGAGGCGAGAAUCUCCAAGUGUAAAUGUUGAACGAAACGCAUCGACAUCGUUUGCUGUAAUAUAAUUGGAUGAAGUCGCAGCACGACGAACUGUUGUGUUAAAUAUCAACGCAAUGGACCGAGAAAAAAAAGCGAAAAAAAGGCUCAGCGAGCGCAAGCUGCUUCCGUCAGACUCUUAUUUCCGUAAAUAAUUAUGAUAUCCUUGAGGAAAAAAGAAAGUCACAAACAUCAUCGCCGAAGGAAAUUCUGUUGUUUCAGAAGAGUUGACCGUGGGAUGAUAUUCCACAUGUCUCGGGGACAAAAUUGAGUAAAUAAAAAUUGACAUUCCCUCUCAUUUCCCAUGCUGCGAACCCUGAAGAAUUCAAAGGACGAAAUGAAGUAAUAAGAAUUUAAUUAACGAUCUAAAAGGCCAUGCGAUGUGAUACGAACUCAUCGUAUAAAUAAUUGUCGUAAUUCUGCCUCGCUAAUUCUGUUUAUACGGAAUGAAUAUAUAAUACAUUUUGUUUAACAUUCUA